rnacentral:rRNA from 1 species
UACGGAGGGUGCAAGCGUUAAUCGGAAUUACUGGGCGUGAAGCGCGCGUAGGCGGUUUGCUAAGUCUGUCGUGAAAGCCCUGGGCUUAACCUGGGAACUGCGGUGGAUACUGUCAAGCUAGAGUGUGGUAGAGGGCAGUGGAAUUUCCGGUGUAGCAGUGAAAUGCGUAGAGAUCGGAAGGAACACCAGUGGCGAAGGCGGCUGCCUGGACCAACACUGACGCUGAGGUGCGAAAGCGUGGGGAGCAAACAGG